GUACUAGUCUGGUAACCGUC
rnacentral:snRNA from 1 species